rnacentral:rRNA from 1 species
UACGUAGGGGGCAAGCGUUAUCCGGAUUUACUGGGUGUAAAGGGAGCGUAGGCGGCCUUGCAAGUCAGGCGUGAAAGCCCGGGGCUCAACUCCGGGACUGCGCUUGAAACUGUAGGGCUCGAGUGCGGGAGGGGCAGGCGGAAUUCCUGGUGUAGCGGUGAAAUGCGUAGAUAUCAGGAAGAACACCGGUGGCGAAGGCGGCCUGCUGGACCGAGACUGACGCUGAGGCUCGAAAGCGUGGGGAGCAAAC